GCUGCCCUCGGGAACGGGGGGGGGGGCAGCGCCGGGGCUUGGGAGCGUUGGAGCGGUAGGAAACAACGCCCCUCGCGUUCUUACGAUGGCAGCUUUCGGGUGUGGAGAAAGGCGUAUUCCCAGCAAACUCUGUUUCCAAAGACUGCAAAGGAGAUGCUGUCAAAACAUCCCAUGGUUAUUGUACUGCUCAGGCAGCACUGGGAAGUUUGGGGGAAUGUCCAACGCUAAUUCAAACUCAGCCAACAUAAGAAUCAGUCCAUGACAAUGAAGCAUGUCAAAGCUAUAAGAUGUCAAAAAUAAGGAGACACCUUAAUUACAACCAAUCCUGCCUAAAGCAUCCGUAACCACAAGCAGCUACAAAUUGGCAUUUAUUCCGCAACGCAGGUAUUCUCUGAGCAAUCCCAGCACACAGCUGCAACAGUUUAUUCACUGUGCUCACGUGUGGAUUUCUCUGCCAGUUGAUCUCAGGCCAAGGCAGCUAUAGAAUCAUUUACUGCAAGAACUGUGGUUCAGAGUGAACUUCUGGCUAAAAGGACAGAAAUAUUGUUACUUUAAACAGAGCUAAGCUCCAGCUCCACGAUUUUGACCUUCAGUCACUGCUGUAACUUCCAAACCCAACUCUUCCUCCGCCUCUUCACAGUAAGCCCAUUACAGCCCAUUUGUUCUUGCUAACACACAGACAUCAGUUUGGGUUUGGUGAUUCACUCUUUAGCAGCCUUUAUGUUCACAUAUGUGCAUUUGUACGUAAUUCUUAGUCCUUAGUUUAUAAUAAUGUUGUCUGACCUGCAUAUUAAAUAUAUGCAGUCCAAGAUGGGAGGGGGCGCAAAACUUAACUAUCCCUUAGUGUGGGCAGCCUGCUGCUUAUCUUUCAUUGCUGUGUGUUGUGAAACAUCACUCUUCCAAAUAGGUUAUUCUUUCUGGACUUGAGUAGUUGUCCUCAUCAGGUGCUUGCAAGUAGUGAUUUUCUUUCAAAUGAAUAGUGAGGAUACAAUUUUUGACUCCGCUCAAAAAAAAAAAAAAAAAAAAAAAAAAAAAGCUUAAAAAU